UCAUUUGUACCUUCAAGCUCUGCUUGGUGUUGGGUGUUUGUCUCGCCUCUGCGUGUAGACUCGCCUUAAAACAAUUGGCAGCCGGCGUAUUGAUUUCGGAGCGCAGUACAUCUCGCGCUUUGCACUCAUAACGACGACGUCCAAAAGUACAUUUUUACACUCUUGACCUCGGAUCAGGUAGGGAUACCCGCUGAACUUAA
rnacentral:misc_RNA from 1 species